ACUGGCGCACGGGUGAGUAACACGUGGGAACCGACCCCGAGGUACGGAAUAACCGCUGGAAACGGCGGCUAAUACCGUAUGUGCCCUACGGGGGAAAGAUUUAUCGCCUUGGGAUGGUCCCGCGUCCGAUUAGCUUGUUGGUGAGGUAACGGCUCACCAAGGCUGCGAUCGGUAGCUGGUCUGAGAGGACGAUCAGCCACACUGGGACUGAGACACGGCCCAGACUCCUACGGGAGGCAGCAGUGAGGAAUAUUGGACAAUGGGCGCAAGCCUGAUCCAGCCAUGCCGCGUGAGUGAAGAAGGCUUUAGAGUUGUAAAGCUCUUUCAGCGGGGAAGAUGAUGACGGUACCCGCAGAAGAAGCCCCGGCUAACUCCGUGCCAGCAGCCGCGGUAAUACGGAGGGGGCUAGCGU
rnacentral:rRNA from 1 species